rnacentral:lncRNA from 7 species
GAGGAGAACAGCGCCAACCAUCUGUCUGAGAAUGGUUUGGUGCAAGGCCGAGUUCUUAUGAAGACCAAAGAAAACUUUGGGGAGUCCUACUUUCCUGGAAGAGAGCUGUGCACUAUUUUUCACAGUCUGCUGAAGCUGGUCACAGCCUCCGGAAGGCCUAAUCUACGCCCUUUACCGGAAAACCUCUAGUAUCCUGGGCACCUGCUGCUCUCCAGCAAGGACGCAUAAGAGCUUCAAAUCUGCUUGUCUCUCCUGCAGUUUUAUAAACCAGAUUUUACACCAAAACAAGACGAAAGAGUUUGAGGUAAAUCGUACAACGGGAUUCAAACUUCUGGAUGUGAAGCUGAGUCUAUGAACGUUUCAAGAUAAAUAACAUCAGCAGCAAAGGAACGAGGCCCAAGCGUUGAAAUGGACCGCGCAUCUUUUUGUGUUUCUGGGAGCAGGACACAGAACCCAGCUCCUCCCAGCUCUAUGUCCUUCCUUCAGGACCAGGAGCACCACCAAACAGCCAUCACCACAGAAGCCACCACAGGAGCCAGGGAAGAGACCCCUUCACCAGGGAGGGGUCUCACCCCCCCCACUCAGGGGGAGCCCCGGUGCACACCCAAGGGGCUCCCUCCUCACCCCCCCCCCACUCAGGGGGAGCCCCGGUGCACACCCAAGGGGCUCCCUCCUCACCCCCCCCCCCCCCCCCCACUCAGGGGAGCCCCGGUGCACACCCAAGGGGCUCCCUCCUCACCCCCCCCCCACUCAGGGGGAGCCCCGGUGCACACCCAAGGGGCUCCCUCCUCACCCCCCCCCCACUCAGGGGGAGCCCCGGUGCACACCCAAGGGGCUCCCUCCUCACCCCCCCCCCCCCCCACUCAGGGGGAGCCCCGGUGCACACCCAAGGGGCUCCCUCCUCCCCCCCCCCCCCACUCAGGGGGAGCCCCGGUGCACACCCAAGGGGCUCCCUCCUCACCCCCCCCCCCACUCAGGGGAGCCCCGGUGCACACCCAAGGGGCUCCCUCCUCACCCCCCCCCCACUCAGGGGGAGCCCCGGUGCACACCCAAGGGGCUCCCUCCUCACCCCCCCCCCCACUCAGGGGGAGCCCCGGUGUACACCCAAGGGGCUCCCCCCACCAGCCCUUCCCAGGGCUGCCACACUCCAGCCAGAGGAAGAACAAAAGUUACACCUGCACCCACCCCCCCACCAAAAUAAAAAAAAAUAAUCUCUUUAGAGAUAGUGCAAACCCCAGCCAACAGCCCCAUGCCAAGGGGGAAGCACAGCACUCCCUCACUAAGAGAGACUGCUGUGCCUUCCCCCCCAGAACGGCAACCAAGCCAUCACCAAGGAAACAAAACACCCACCUAGUACACACCCAAGACAACACCACUACACCUCAGACACUGCCAUACCUUCAGAGCUCAAGCCAACAUACACCAUCACCUUCUAACAAGACUCUUACAUCCCCAGCCACAAACUCUAAAAAGGGAGCAGGACACACAGGUCACAGACAAAACACCACUCACCUCCCACCAGCAGGACCAACACUCAGCUCACCAGGUCAGGCUCAGCUUCACAAGGAGACCUCUCACCACAGCCUGAAAUGCAACAACAGUCAGAAAACAUUACAUACAAUCCCAAGGUCUCUUUUUAAGGCAGCCCCUCCUGUUGCAAGAACCACACAACAAAGCAGAGCCCACUCCAGCUUCUGCUGGCAUGGAAACCCAGGAGAUCCCACAUGGCUCCCAGCCACCUCCAGCAGACCUAGCCAAGGCACAGCAAAGACCACAUACAAAAAAAAGACAAAAAAAGCCAGAACACACACCCAACACCCCAGCCCAAACAAAGCCAAAUACACAAGCAUUACCAAACAGACCCUGGAGCCAAGGAAGUGCACAACAUACACCCACCCAGGGAACACACAAUCAACCCCAAGGACACACCACCAGAAACACUGCCUACCUCAGGCAUCUCCUCUGCUUCUUCCACGUGGGCAGUACAGCUCCCAGCCUGGAAUGAGGGCCUUCUUCUCAAGACAACCGCUGUGCCAGGACCUGAGGAAAGUAAACACCUCAGCAGUGCUCAACCUCACCAACGCAACAGACCACCCCCCGCUACAACAAACAGCUGCCGGAGCACUUCACACCUCUCACUCAGAGAGUUCAAUUCCUCCAGGAGCUGACCCACCACACACAGUUAGAGCUGAAAUCAAAAUACACCAUCACCCACACACAAAAUGGACUUGUGUCCCCUGGCACACACUCCCAGCCACAGGCAAAAGGACACCGCUUACCUCAAUCCAUAGGCUCUCAACACCAGGACCCCUGAACCUGCAGGAAGACCUCCACAAACCUCUUCCAAGGGGGCACGGGGCUCACACGCCUGCAAACCCCAUCACUCACCUCCUUCAUCCUAUCAAAAAAAUACAACCACUCCCAUACUCACACAGAUCCUCGCUGCUAAGCACUCCAUUGUGGCACUCACCCUGCAGCAUCAUCAUCCAGCGCAUCUUCCCUUACCAUGUGUCACCCAGGAAAGCAUUUGGAUGCAGCUUGAAAAUCCCCAGUGAAGGUGACACCGCAACUUCUCUGGGCAGCCUAUUCCAUCACUCUCACUGCUGA